UGUACCAGGCUGGAGAGAGUGAUCUGAUUCUUCUGAAGCGCAUGUCAGAGAGGAGGAGGAGGGAGGGAAUGAACCAGGAAGAGAGAGCGAGAGAGAGAAGGCAGCCUCCGGUUGACAGUACAUGGAGGUCUGCAGGAGCUCCAGAACCAGGAAACAUCCCUUGCUGCUGCGCCUGGUGUGUGUUCCGCCUGCUGCUUUCACAAGGGGCUGCAGGGCUUUCAUCACCACUGAAUGGUAUGCUGUCCUGAUGUCUCUCUCAAAGCCAGGAGGACUGACGUGGCGUCAGAGACUUCCAGGUUCUCUGUGGAUCAGCCCCUGAGAGCUGUAGGAUCCACGCAGGAGGAUGCAGGGCCUCAGGAGGAACAGCUCCAGCCAGCUCUGACUUCUGGUGGGGCAGGACAGCUGGUGUUGUGAAUCAGGCCGCUAUAGUGCCAGACACGGCUUCUUCCCAACACCAGGGUCACACCCCACUGUCUGCAGCACCGAAGCCCCGGAGCCCAGCCCUCUCCCUCACCGGCAGCAAGGCACAGCAGCAGAUCACAGGAGGACAGAUCAAAAUGCAUGCCGAGACUAGUGGAGGAUGUGUCUUUCAAAAACAGACUAGUCGAAGUUAAUUAAAAAUAAACUAAAUAUUCCACUGUGUGUCUGGGGCAUAAGAGGAGCAUUUGAGCAUCGUCCGAAGCAUAACCACCAUUGUUUAAUUCUCAAUUGUGAUUAAAGUAGAGUUGUAUUGUAUUGACUUGCCCUAUGACAGUUUCUGUGUGUCUGCACACUAGGACUAGGAUUCAACAUCAGUGAACUAUCAGAGCAUAAGACAGUACAACUAGAGAGAGGACAGUGCCUCUCUGAACAAGUGUGAUGGGAACAGUGGUGGUUCUAGACCAUUUCAACUGGGGGGGCCAAGCUGGGGCCAGUUGUACUGCUAGAGGGGCCAGUUACAUUAGACGUUAUUGUUGUCAUAUCGUUUUCUUCAAGGGGGUCCAAAAUUGUUGUCACAGUGGCACUGCCCCCCCCCCCAGAACCGCUAGUGGAUGGGAAUAGCAUGAAAUGAAUAAUCAAUCAUAAUGAAAUGUGUUCCGGUUUAUGUAAAAGCAUGACAAAUGAAAGGCUGGGUGUAUUCCUUUGUCUGGGAUUAAAUUGAAAAUGGAUUUUGAUGUUAGUCUCAGUCUUAGUAUCAGUACGCUUUGUUGGCAUCCCUCUGUGCUGCUUUUAUUUCACUUUAUAUUAUAUACUUUUAUUAAAACUCAUCAAAGGACUUUUUAUUUGUUAUUCGUUACGGAACAAAUUUUAUGUUUUCAUUGUGUGGUGGUAGUUUGUGAGUGAAAGUGUUUAAGUACAAUUGUGAAUUCGUUUUUGCAUCAUUAUUCCAAUAUUAAAGCAGGAUACAUGUGAACAACUACA